CACGUAGGGUGCGAGCGUUGUCCGGAUUUAUUGGGCGUAAAGAGCUCGUAGGCGGUUCGACAAGUCGGAUGUGAAAUCUCCACGCUCAACGUGGAGGGGCCAUUCGAAACUGUCGUGACUUGAGUCCGGUAGGGGAGUGUGGAAUUCCCGGUGUAGCGGUGAAAUGCGCAGAGAUCGGGAGGAACACCCGUAGCGAAGGCGGCACUCUGGGCCGUGACUGACGCUGAGGAGCGAAAGCGUGGGGGGCAAACAGG
rnacentral:rRNA from 1 species